UGGUGGACGACACCCGAGUAAUUGCCGCCGAUCGCACGGCCUCCGAGCCGGCGACACCUUCACUGAGUUUCUGAUCUAUCAUGCUGACGACGGUUGGUGCUAUGCCAACCGUGGCGUUAACGGAUAACAGAGAAUCUGGGUUCGAUUCUGGAGAGGCCGCAUGAGAAACGGCGACCACUUCCAAGGAAGGCAGCAGGCACGCAAAUUACCCACUUCGGACACCGAGAGGUAGUGACGAACAAUACCGAUGCGGCGCACUUACGUGUCGCCGUAAUCGGAAUGAGUACACUUCAAAUCCUUUAACGAGGAUCCACUGGAGGGCAAGCCUGGUGCCAGCAGCCGCGGUAAUUCCAGCUCCAGCAGCGUAUAUUUAUAUUGCUGCGUUUAAAAAGCUCGUAGUUGAAGCGUCAGACGCGGGAGGGCGGACGGCCGCACUGGUCGCUCUCGCCCGACCGAGCCAGGCGCAGAGGGCGCGCGUCGCUUGCACUUCGCCGUGUGAGCGCGCCGCCGCUGCACGUUCACCUUGAAGAAAUUGAACCGCUUAGAGGGGGCGAGCAGCUUGCACAGCUCAGCAUGGUAUGAUGGAACAUGGGCUCGUACUCAUUUUGUUGGUUAGAGAGUCGGCGAGCCAAUGAUUAACAGGGACUGCCGGGGGCAUUCGUACUCGGACGGGAGAGGUGAAAUUCAAGGAUCGUCCGAAGACGCCCUACUGCGAAAGCAUUUGCCAAGAAUGUUUUCAUUAAUCAAGAACGAAAGUCAGAGGUGCGAAGGCGAUCAGAUACCGCCGUAGUUCUGACCGUAAACGAUGCCGACUGGCAAUUGGGCGCACUUCUGUCGAAGUUGCCGCCAGCAGUAUUGCCCGGGAAACCAAAGUCAUUGGGUUCCGGGGGGAGUAUGGUUGCAAAGCUGAAACUUAAAGGAAUUGACGGAAGGGCACCACCAGGAGUGGAGCCUGCGGCUUAAUUUGACUCAACACGGGAAACCUCACCCGGCCCGAACACUGUUAUGACAGACAGGUUGAGAGCUCUUUCUCGAUUCAGUGGUUGGUGGUGCAUGGCCGUUCUUAGUUCGUGGAGCGAUCUGUCUGGUUAAUUCCGAUAACGAACGAGACUCUUGCCUGCUAAAUAGACGGCGUCGACUCCUGUCGGCGACCGUUCGCUUCUUAGAGGGACAAGCGGCUUUUAGCCGCGUGAAGCCGAGAGCAAUAACAGGUCAGUGAUGCCCUCAGAUGUUCGGGGCCGCACGCGCGCUACACUGUUUGCAUCAGCGUGUUUCUCCCGCGCCGGCUGGCGUGGGCAACCCGUUGAACCGCAAACGUGCUAGGGAUCGGAGAUUGCAAUUGUUCUCCGUGAACGAGGAAUUCCUUGUACUGGCGAGUCAUCAGCUCGCGGGGAAUCUGUCCCUGCCCUUUGUACACACCGCCCGUCGCUACUACCGAUUGAGUGGUUUAGUGAGGCUCACGGACUGCGCGCGGCACACGG
rnacentral:rRNA from 1 species